rnacentral:lncRNA from 1 species
CCAAGGUCUGGUCCAUGGGUGUGGGAUAUGAAAGUCUGGCCCCUUUGACUCAAUUUGAGCUGCUACAUCAGAAUCACGCCUCACAAUAGGCAAAUGUUAAAAAUCCCUUGGAAGUGUGAAUUCCUUAGAGGUGUGGCUGAGAGCCUCAAAUGUCAUGGCUGAUUAUCACAAAUUGUGAUCACUAAUUGGCUGAGAUAUUAAAGGACAUUCAAGGACUGGGGAGAGCUUGGUGAGAUUCAAUGCCAUAUGUAGGAAGAACCGAAAGAAGACCUUGGACUAUUGGGCAACAGAGAAAGGAAAGGGAGGAACUUGAAGAAAAACGACCCUGGCAGGAAUUGAAGGAGGAAAGACUGGUAACUGAAUCGGAGGGCAAAAGACUAGUAACAAGAAGAGUGGGUGUGAGAUGGUGGUACAGAUUCAGGCACCAGACAAUGAAGACCCGAAUGAAGGCAGAGUCACUGCCUGCUAUGCUCACAGCAUUGAUUUAUUGA